UCAGCCUUUGCAGUAUCGUUUCUUUCUAUUUUUCACCUCUCCUUUUGAGUUUUGAUCAAUUAUGUAUCAUCAAAAUUUCGGUUUCUCUUGUCUCAUAAAAGUGGAGAUAUGAGACUUAACAAUCUAAAGGUACAUGAUCGUCACUUUAAUGCAAAGUGGAUUCCACCGUUAUACGUCAAAACAGAUUUGAAUUGGAGCUGAUAAGUUUGGCAUAUCGCUUUUACAAAAAUGACAAGAAAAGGAAGAAAAAAAAAAGGAAGAAUUAAUAAAGGCAUCCAAAGUCGAUUGAGGACGUGAU